AUGGCUCAGAACGAACGCUGGCGGCGUGCUUAACACAUGCAAGUCGAACGCGAACGGGACUUCGGUCCUUAGUAGAGUGGCGCACGGGUGAGUAACGCGUAGAUAACCUAUCUUCCUGUCUGGAAUAAUACGCCGAAAGGAGUACUAAUACCGGAUAUUCUUGCUUUUUCAUAAGUAUAGCAAGCAAAGGUGGCCUCUGUAUAUGCUACUGCAGGGAGAGGGGUCUGCGUACCAUUAGCUAGUAGGUGGGGUAAGGGCCUACCUAGGCUACGAUGGUUAGCGGGUCUGAGAGGAUGAUCCGCCACACUGGCACUGGAACACGGGCCAGACUCCUACGGGAGGCAGCAGUGAGGAAUAUUGCGCAAUGGGGGCAACCCUGACGCAGCGACGCCGCGUGAGUGAAGGAAGGCCUUCGGGUCGUAAAGCUCUGUCAAGAGGAAAGAAGUGCAUAGCGGUUAAUACCCGUUAUGUUUGACGGUACCUCUAAAGGAAGCACCGGCUAACUCCGUGCCAGCAGCUGC
rnacentral:rRNA from 1 species